rnacentral:rRNA from 1 species
GACGAACGCUGGCGGCGCGCUUAACACAUGCAAGUCGAGCGAGAACCAGUCCUUCGGGACUGGGGAAAGCGGCGAACGGGUGAGUAACACGUGGGUAAUCCACCCUCGGCACCGGAAUAGCCCGGGGAAACCCGGAUUAAUGCCGGAUGGCCCAGCAACUCUUCGGGGCGGCUGGAAAAGGUAGCUUCGGCCGCCGGCCGAGGACGAGCCCGCGGCGGAUUAGCUUGUUGGCGGGGUAACGGCCCACCAAGGCGACGAUCCGUAGCUGGUCUGAGAGGACGAUCAGCCACACUGGGACUGAGACACGGCCCAGACUCCUACGGGAGGCAGCAGUGGGGAAUCUUGCGCAAUGGCGAAAGCCUGACGCAGCGACGCCGCGUGAGGGAAGAAGGCUUUCGGGUUGUAAACCUCUUUCAGGAGGGACGAAGCUACUCGGGUGAAUAGCCCGGAGGGUGACGGUACCUCCAGAAGAAGCCCCGGCUAACUACGUGCCAGCCGCCGCGGUAAUAC